GGACCCUUUUGGACCCCGCGGAUCAACCAAUGAGAAGACGAUCGACGUCAAAUAGAUGUUUGCAGCUUGCAGAAUGGAAAGAAAUUUGCAGCUAAAAUUAUUUUCACUUCUAUGUGAAAAUCUAACCGAAAAACUUACCUGUUGAUUUCAAGAUACAGUAUGCCAUUCCAGGUUUGAUGAAAUAUAGAGUGAUGCUUUGAACAUGCAUGAACAUGUUGAAAUUGGAGUUUUAUGUUUAUAGACAGCAAUGAUGAUCACCUGCACCGAGACAGCAGAAGAAAGUUACUUAUUUAUAACUCAUCAUGACCAUGAUGACCAUUUAAUACUGAAAAUCUGAUUAAAAUUUGUUUGGAAAGCCACCAAAUAUUUCAAUGAGAAGUAGAAAAAAGACAGCAAUUCUAUAUCAUGUACUAAGCAGAAGCAUUUAAUUUGUGGUUUCUUUCGUGAAAUAUUUGAAAAAUCUGCAAUGUCUAACCAAGUAGUUUAUAAGAGAUCUAAAGAUAAACAUAUGACAUGUAUGAUAUUCAGAUGAAUUUGAAAGAAGGAAAUAUAUUGAUUUAUAAGACUUCAA